rnacentral:rRNA from 1 species
CAGCCGCCGCGGUAAUACGUAGGGUGCAAGCGUUAAUCGGAAUUACUGGGCGUAAAGCGUGCGCAGGCGGUUCUAUAAGACAGAUGUGAAAUCCCCGGGCUCAACCUGGGAACUGCAUUUGUGACUGUAGAGCUGGAGUGCGGCAGAGGGGGAUGGAAUUCCGCGUGUAGCAGUGAAAUGCGUAGAUAUGCGGAGGAACACCGAUGGCGAAGGCAAUCCCCUGGGCCUGCACCGACGCUCAUGCACGAAAGCGUGUGGAGCAAACAGGAUUAGAUACCCCCGUAGUCCCUGUCUCUUAUAA